UACCAGCACCCCCGAGUGGUCGGGACGUUUAUUGGGCCUAAAGCAUCCGUAGCCGGUUCUGCAAGUCUUCCGUUAAAUCCACCUGCUUAACAGAUGGGCCGCGGAAGAUACUAUAGAGCUAGGAGGCGGGAGAGGCAAGCGGUACUCGAUGGGUAGGGGUAAAAUCCGUUGAUCCAUUGAAGACCACCAGUGGCGAAGGCGGCUUGCCAGAACGCGCUCGACGGUGAGGGAUGAAAGCUGGGGGAGCAAACCGG
rnacentral:rRNA from 1 species